rnacentral:rRNA from 1 species
AGCCCUAAGUGGGUGGUAAACUCCAUCUAAGGCUAAAUAUGACCACGAGACCGAUAGCGAACAAGUACCGUGAGGGAAAGUUGAAAAGCACUUUGAAGAGAGAGUUCAAGAGUACGUGAAACCGUUUAGGGGUAAACCUGAGAAACCCGAAAGGUCGAAGGGAGAAAUUCAUUCGCGUUUCGAGGCAGGCACCGGACGGUGUUGUGCGACGGGGAGCGUCCGCGUUCUCCGCGCCCUCCGUUCGGCGAUCCGGCAGCGAACGCGUGCACUUUUCUCCUGGUAGGACGUCGCGAUCCGUUGGGUGUCGGUCUACGGCUCGAGGUGGAGCCCGUCGGUCUUCGUGACCGACGAACCCUCGAUGUCCCGGCCGACUCGCUCGACGGUAUGCGAAAGGUUUGAGGCCGCUCUCGGAGCGUCCGGCUCGCGGCAAGCGCGUCUGUUGCGUCGGCGAUCGGACCUAGUGCCGAUUCUGACCUCCGACGACUGUUGGCCGCGAACGCCUCGGACAGACCUCAGACCGAUCUGCGACGCUAUAGCUUUGGGUACUUUCAG